UUCUCAGUAGUAUAGAGGUAGAAUCCACGCCUGUCACGCGUGUGGCCCGGGUUCGAUUCCCGGCUGGGAAG
rfam:Microbotryum lychnidis-dioicae p1A1 Lamole unplaced genomic scaffold supercont1.504, whole genome shotgun sequence.